rnacentral:lncRNA from 1 species
CUGGAGGGGCCUUGGUGACUUGCUUGACAGAGUAUGGUGAAAAUGAUGCUGUGUGACUUCCACGCUUCAGUCACAAAGAUGCCACACCCUUCUGCCUUGUUCUUUUGUCACACUGCCUCUUGGAAUGUGGCCACAUGCUGCAAGGAAGCCCAAGCAAACUGUAGAGAUGCCACAUGGACAGAAACCAAGGCCCAUAGCCCCUAGUCCUGACUGAGCUCCCAGCUGGCACCAGCACCAACAUGCCAGCCAUGUGAAUGAACUACCUCCAGUCCCAGUCAAGCCACUCUACCUCACACCAUGCGGAGUAGAGAUGAGCCAUCUCUGUUGAGCACUUCCCAAUCACAGACACCUGUGCCCAGCUGAGACUGCCACCUCCCUACCCAAGGACAGAUAUUCUUCUGGUAAUGACAACCAAGUAAAGUGCAAGUGUUUGGAGCUAAUGGCUGCCUUGUUGCCCAGUAGAAGGUUGUAACUGUACGUUUAGGAGGAGAUUUAAAAAUCUAUCUGACCCCAUUCAUUGCCAGUGAAUUCCACUGGACUUCUUAAUUCAAGAGACAGUCCCUGGGUAAAGGAACUCUCAGCCAUAAAGGGAUUACUAAGAAACUGAAGCAGAGUGCUCUGUGAUGGGGUCCUCAUGGAGCCUGAGCAGGUAAGCAAUUUGCAACUUCACUAGGAUUUCUGAAACCAGCGCUCUCAACACUUAGUCGUCUUAGUAGAGCAGCAGCUCUGGGUCCUGGAGGUAAUCACAGAACAGUGCUUUCCCUCCCGCUAUCCCUCCCUUGUUCAGCUAGUUGGUGAUCUAGACUCUACAAGCUUCUAAGAUGUAACUGGAAAUAAUUUGAUGACUUGAAUAUGAUGAAGACACCUCUGGAAACACAUCUGGUUCCUACAGAGCAUUAUGCUCAGCAGUACCCAUGCCAACUGGACCCAAGCUUGGAAGAGGCAGCCUUAGCAAAAGUUUUGACACUCAGAAUAAUGUGCUUGCACAUGAGCACAGACUGAAGAUCACGCCUGUGGUAGGCAGAGUAAGGGCCCCACAAAGAUGUCCUAAUUCCCCAAGCUUGCCAAUAUGUUACCUUACACGGCAGAAAGGACUUGGUGGAUGUGAUUGUUAAGGAUCUUGAGAUAGAUUAUCCUGGAUUAUCUGGGGGGACCAAAAGAAACUACAAGGGUCCUUAUAAGAUGGAGACAGGAGAGUCAAAGUAAGAGAGAUGUGACAGGGAAACAGAGGUUGGAGUGAUGAAAUGUGAAGAUGGAGGAACAGACUACAAGUCAAACAUUCUGAGUAGCCUCUGGAAGCCAGAGAAUUUGUUUCCUUCCCUUGAGCCUCCAAAAGGAACCAGCCCUGUUGAUUUUAGCUCCUUAAGAUCCAUUUUGGACUUCUGACCUCCAGAAAUGCAUGAUAAUUACUUUGUGUUGUUUUAAGCCAUUUGUGGUGUAUGGUAGUUUGUUACAGCAGCAACAGGCAACUAAUAUAAGACAUUAUCAUUUGUUUGUUUCAUGAUCACGUGUCUCAACACUCUCCUUCUCAUGGAUUAUUCAAUCUCUCUCAGAGGGAAAGUCAGACUGAAAGUUUCUCAAUAAGUACCACUGAGACAUGGACUGUCACAGCUUCUGGUCCUUCCUUCAGGCCACAUUCCUCUGCUUCCCCCUCUUACACACACACACACACACACGCACACACAACUCUCUUCUGUAGGCACUAAGUCUAGGUAGUGGAGUAUCCCAGAUACAUCUGGGACCCCAGAAGUAAAGCUAUAGGGUCUCUUUUCCUCAUAGUUCCAUUAAACACCAGGAAAUGGGAACAAAAAGUGAGACUGUGGAAAUCCAACCUGACUUAAUGAGAUUUAUUUGAAGCAUGGUGUCAAUAAGCUACAACUGCCAAAUCAAGACUCCUAACUCAUAUGCAUAUGAGUCUGAAAGACUAUUUAGGGGAAAAGUGUUUAAACACCUUCUCCAUGUGCAUUCAGUGUCCAUUCAGCUGUUAGUCUAAGAAGUUACUCCACAUUGAAGAACUCUCUGGCAAACUCCUGUAUCAAGUGUUUCUUUCUAAGUUGACAUUGGACCACUCAAUCUGGCUCUUUCUACACUCUCACUAUUUUUCUAGGUUGGGAGACCUCUACAUAACUAAAGGACUAAAAUUAGUUUAUUAGUCCUUUAGUUAUGGACUAAUUUUAUUUGACUCUACUGAUCACGAAUAUGUUACAGAAGGCAUUUAGGCAUUAACUGCAUGGGCAUUUUUGCAGCCCACAGAGGAGUCUCCAGGAAGCUGACAUAAAGAAAAAUUGAUUAUUCAAU